CAAGGCUAAAUACUCGAUAUCGACCGAUAGUGAACCAGUACCGUGAGGGAAAGGCGAAAAGAACCCCGGAAGGGGAGUGAAAUAGAACCUGAAACCGUGUGCAUACAAACAGUAGGAGCGGACUUGUUCCGUGACUGCGUACCUUUUGUAUAAUGGGUCAGCGACUUACAUUCAGUGGCAAGGUUAACCGUAUAGGGAAGCCGUAGAGAAAUCGAGUCCGAAUAGGGCGACAGUCGCUGGGUGUAGACCCGAAACCAAGUGAUCUACUCAUGGCCAGGAUGAAGGUGCCGUAACAGGUACUGGAGGUCCGAACCCACUAAUGUUGAAAAAUUAGGGGAUGAGCUGUGGGUAGGGGUGAAAGGCUAAACAAACUUGGAAAUAGCUGGUUCUCUCCGAAAACUAUUUAGGUAGUGCCUCAAGUAUCACCAACGGGGGUAGAGCACUGUUAUGGCUAGGGGGUCAUCGCGACUUACCAAACCAUUGCAAACUCCGAAUACCGUUGAGUGCGAGCUUGGGAGACAGACAUCGGGUGCUAACGUCCGGUGUCAAGAGGGAAACAACCCAGACCGCCAGCUAAGGUCCCAAAGUAUAGCUAAGUGGAAAACGAAGUGGGAAGGCUAAAACAGUCAGGAGGUUGGCUUAGAAGCAGCCACCCUUUAAAGAAAGCGUAAUAGCUCACUGAUCGAGUCGUCCUGCGCGGAAGAUGUAACGGGGCUAAGCUAUACACCGAAGCUGCGGAUAUCCUUUUAGGAUAUGGUAGGAGAGCGUUCUGUAAGCCUGCGAAGGUGUCUUGUAAAGGAUGCUGGAGGUAUCAGAAGUGCGAAUGCUGACAUGAGUAGCGAUAAUGGGAGUGAAAAGCUCCCACGCCGUAAGCCCAAGGUUUCCUGUUCAACGUUCAUCGGAGCAGGGUGAGUCGGCCCCUAAGGCGAGGCAGAGAUGCGUAGCUGAUGGGAAGCAGGUUAAUAUUCCUGCACCGUCGUAUGAUGCGAUGGGGGGACGGAUCGCGGAAGGUCGUCAGGCGGUUGGAAGAGCCUGUUCUUGACUUGUAGAAGGUGCUUAGGCAAAUCCGGGCACAUAAUUCAAGGGGUUGAGACGAGUGAAUUUAUUCACGAAGCGAUCGGAAGUGGUUCCAAGAAAAGCCUCUAAGCUUCAGUCAUACGAGACCGUACCGCAAACCGACACAGGUGGGCGAGAUGAGUAUUCUAAGGCGCUUGAGAGAACUCGGGAGAAGGAACUCGGCAAAUUGGUACCGUAACUUCGGGAUAAGGUACGCCCUUGUAGUUUGACCCCCCUGCGGGGGAAGGAUGAAAGGGUUGCAAUAAACUGGUGGCUGCAACUGUUUAAUAAAAACACAGCACUAUGCAAACACGAAAGUGGACGUAUAUGGUGUGACUCCUGCCCGGUGCUGGAAGAUUAAAUGAUGGGGUGCAAGCUCUUGAUUGAAGUCCCAGUAAACGGCGGCCGUAACUAUAACGGUCCUAAGGUAGCGAAAUUCCUUGUCGGGUAAGUUCCGACCUGCACGAAUGGAGUAAUGAUGGCCACACUGUCUCCUCCCGAGACUCAGCGAAGUUGAAAUGUUUGUGAUGAUGCAAUCUACCCGCGGCUAGACGGAAAGACCCCAUGAACCUUUACUGUAGCUUUGCAUUGGACUUUGAACCAAUCUGUGUAGGAUAGGUGGGAGGCUUUGAAGCGGGGACGCCAGUUCUCGUGGAGCCAUCCUUGAAAUACCACCCUGGUUUGUUUGAGGUUCUAACCUUGGCCCAUUAUCUGGGUCGGGGACAGUGCAUGGUAGGCAGUUUGACUGGGGCGGUCUCCUCCCAAAGUGUAACGGAGGAGUUCGAAGGUACGCUAGUUACGGUCGGACAUCGUGACGAUAGUGCAAUGGCAUAAGCGUGCUUAACUGCGAGACUGACAAGUCGAGCAGGUACGAAAGUAGGACAUAGUGAUCCGGUGGUUCUGUAUGGAAGGGCCAUCGCUCAACGGAUAAAAGGUACUCUGGGGAUAACAGGCUGAUUCCUCCCAAGAGUUCAUAUCGACGGGGGAGUUUGGCACCUCGAUGUCGGCUCAUCACAUCCUGGGGCUGUAGCCGGUCCCAAGGGUAUGGCUGUUCGCCAUUUAAAGUGGUACGUGAGCUGGGUUUAAAACGUCGUGAGACAGUUUGGUCCCUAUCUGCCGUGGGCGUUGGAAGUUUGAAGGGGGCUGCUCCUAGUACGAGAGGACCGGAGUGGACGAACCUCUGGUGUAUCGGUUGUCACGCCAGUGGCAUUGCCGAGUAGCUAUGUUCGGAAGAGAUAACCGCUGAAAGCAUCUAAGCGGGAAACUCGCCUUAAGAUGAGACUUCCCAGAG
rnacentral:rRNA from 1 species